rnacentral:rRNA from 1 species
UACAGAGGGUGCAAACGUUGCUCGGAAUUAUUGGGCGUAAAGCGCGUGUAGGCGGCCCGUUAAGUUGGUUGUGAAAUCCCAUGGCUCAACCAUGGAAGUGCAACCAAAACUGGCGGGCUUGAGUCCUGAAGAGAAUGGCGGAAUUCCCAGUGUAGAGGUGAAAUUCGUAGAUAUUGGGAGGAACAUCGGUGGCGAAGGCGGCCAUUUGGGAAGGUACUGACGCUGAGACGCGAAAGCGUGGGGAGCGAACAGG